GUCGAUGCAACGCCAUUUUCAUGUGUUUCAGUGUAAUUGAUGGUAUUUGUGUUACAUUAAUAUUAUGGCGAAUUCAUUACAGAAGCUCUUGGGUAGUGCUGCGUUUGGAUGGUGACAUCUGCAGGUCUGUGAUAGACCAUUUCUGUGAUGUGGAUUCGGAUAUACAGGACGUACAGUGUCCAAAAGAAGAUUUGCUGCUCAGCUCGUCACAGUUUGAUGCAGUGUCAGCAAGUUGGAAAAAAACAUGGAGUUUCAACGACAAUAAUUGAGGCAUAAGCGUUGCUUGAAAGAUUAAAGAACAAUCAGCUACCGGGCGUGUGGAGAUAUGUAUGGUAGGAGAAGGUGUAAUCAACAUUUCGGAAUGGUUAUAUGUUCUCUACUUUUUCACAUUUCUAAUUUGGACAUGGUUGUUUCCGAACUUGGAGUUUCCAGGAGAAGCACAGACGUUUCCAGAAAUUUAGUCAACAACCAGCUGCUAGGUAUAUGAUAUGUGUAGAAGGAGGAGAAGUAGAAGCAGCUACCUGAGGAUUUGAACUCCAAAGUUCGAUAUGUGUAGAGGAAGAAGAACCAGGAGAUAUCUACCACAGACGCGAUUUUUGAAGUUGCAAGAAUGACCAGCCUAGCAGCUUGAUGUAAUGUAACUACCACAAGGAAGGAGAAGAACUUGGAGUUUCCAGGAAAAUAAUUGCAGCACAAAGGUUUCCAAAAACUUGGACAACAAUCAGCCGCUAGGCGUAUGACAUGUGUAGAAGGAGGAUUCAUGAUUGACAUAGCAUUUUGGCUUUUAUUUUUACCUUUCUAAUUUAUACCUCGUUGUUUCAGAAGUAGAAGAAGCUACCUGAGAAUUUGAAGUCCAAAGUUCGUACUGCAAUACGCACCUAGUCAUUACGUUUCUCUGGUGUACGCAACGGAAACUUAAAACAGGAAUGAUCAUUAGUAACGUUUGAGAUUAUGGCCAUGUCCAGUUUUGGUUCAUGUAUUUCCACUCUCAGUUAAGAGGUUCUAAUUACUACGUUGUAUGUUUCAGCACUUCAAAUGAAAACGACUCUGGACAAUACGCGGUC